CGUAUUGAUAAUAAAGAUUUAUCGGUAUAAGAUGGGCAUGCGUAUCAUUAGCUAGUUGGUGUGGUAACGGCAUACCAAGGCAACGAUGAUUAGGGGUCCUGAGAGGGAGAUCCCCCACACUGGUACUGAGACACGGACCAGACUCCUACGGGAGGCAGCAGUGAGGAAUAUUGGUCAAUGGAGGCAACUCUGAACCAGCCAUGCCGCGUGCAGGAUGACGGUCCUAUGGAUUGUAAACUGCUUUUGUACAGGAAGAAACCUCCCUACGAGUAGGGACUUGACGGUACUGUAAGAAUAAGGAUCGGCUAACUCCGUGCCAGCAGCCGCGGUAAUACGGAGGAUCCGAGCGUUAUCCGGAAUUAUUGGGUUUAAAGGGUUCGUAGGCGGCUUUGUAAGUCAGUGGUGAAAUUUCCUAGCUUAACUAGGACACUGCCAUUGAUACUGCAGAGCUUGAAUAAUAUGGAAGUAACUAGAAUAUGUAGUGUAGCGGUGAAAUGCUUAGAUAUUACAUGGAAUACCAAUUGCGAAGGCAGGUUACUACGUAUUUAUUG
rnacentral:rRNA from 1 species